rnacentral:rRNA from 1 species
UACGUAGGGGGCAAGCGUUUGUCCGGAUUUAUUGGGCGUAAAGAGCGUGUAGGCGGCUAUACAGGUCCGCUGUGAAAACUCGAGGCUCAACCUCGAGACGUCGGUGGAAACCGUAUGGCUAGAGUCCGGAAGAGGAGAGUGGAAUUCCUGGUGUAGCGGUGAAAUGCGCAGAUAUCAGGAAGAACACCCGUGGCGAAGGCGGCUCUCUGGGACGGUACUGAGCUAGAGCGAAAAGCGUGGGGGAGAACGG